AGAGUUUGAUCAUGGCUCAGAUUGAACGCUGGCGGCAGGCUUAACACAUGCAAGUCGAGCGGGGACUUCGGUCCUAGCGGCGAACGGGUGAGGAAUGCUUGGGAAUCUGCCCAGUAGUGGGGGAUAACGUUUCGAAAGGAACGCUAAUACCGCAUACGUCCUACGGGAGAAAGGGGGGGAUCUUCGGACCUCUCGCUAUUGGAUGAGCCCAAGUCGGAUUAGCUAGUUGGUGGGGUAAAGGCCUACCAAGGCGACGAUCCGUAGCUGGUCUGAGAGGAUGAUCAGCCACACUGGAACUGAGACACGGUCCAGACUCCUACGGGAGGCAGCAGUGGGGAAUAUUGGACAAUGGGCGAAAGCCUGAUCCAGCCAUGCCGCGUGUGUGAAGAAGGCCUUCGGGUUGUAAAGCACUUUAAGUGGGGAGGAAUGGCUCUUGGUUAAUAACCUUGAGCAGUGACGUUACCCACAGAAUAAGCACCGGCUAACUCUGUGCCAGCAGCCGCGGUAAUACAGAGGGUGCAAGCGUUAAUCGGAAUUACUGGGCGUAAAGCGCGCGUAGGCGGUUGUAUAAGUUGGAGGUGAAAUCCCCGGGCUCAACCUGGGAAUUGCCUUCAAAACUGUACGGCUAGAGUGUGGGAGAGGAAGGUAGAAUUCCAGGUGUAGCGGUGAAAUGCGUAGAUAUCUGGAGGAAUACCGAUGGCGAAGGCAGCCUUCUGGCCUAACACUGACGCUGAGGUGCGAAAGCAUGGGGAGCAAACAGGAUUAGAUACCCUGGUAGUCCAUGCCGUAAACGAUGUCUACUAGCCGUUGGGGGACUUGAUCCUUU
rnacentral:rRNA from 1 species